rnacentral:rRNA from 1 species
GGGAGGCAGCAGUGAGGAAUAUUGCGCAAUGGGCGAAAGCCUGACGCAGCAACGCCGCGUGAAGGAUGAAGGUCCUUUGGAUUGUAAACUUCUGUAGGGAGGGACGAAUUGCCCGGUUCUGCCGGGUCUGACGGUACCUCCAAAGUAAGCACCGGCUAACUCCGUGCCAGCAGCCGCGGUAAUACGGAGGGUGCAAGCGUUGUCCGGAUUCACUGGGUGUAAAGGGCGUGUAGGCGGGAGCAUGUGUCAGAAGUGAAAUCGCGCGGCUUAACCGUGUCAAUUGCUUCUGAAACUGUGCUUCUUGAAUGCGAGAGAGGUAGAUGGAAUUCCAGGUGUAGCGGUGGAAUGCGUAGAUAUCUGGAAGAACACCGGUGGCGAAGGCGGUCUACUGGCUCGUGAUUGACGCUGAGGCGCGAAAGUGUGGGGAGCAAACAGGAUUAGAUACCCCGGUAC